UGCGUAGGUGGAUAAUUAAGUCAGUGGUGAAAUCUUCAGGCUUAACCUGGAAACUGCCAUUGAUACUAUUUGUCUUGAAUACUUUGGAGGUAAGCGGAAUAUGUCAUGUAGCGGUGAAAUGCUUAGAUAUGACAUAGAACACCAAUUGCGAAGGCAGCUUACUACACAGUAAUUGACACUGAGGCACGAAAGCGUGGGGAUCAAACAGGAUUAGAUACCCUGGUAGUCCACGCCCUAAACGAUGGAUACUCGACAUUAGCGAUAUACAGUUAGUGUCUGAGCGAAAGCAUUAAGUAUCCCACCUGGGAAGUACGAUCGCAAGAUUGAA
rnacentral:rRNA from 1 species